rnacentral:rRNA from 2 species
ACCCUUUAAUGUUUGAUGUUCUAACGUGGACCCGUGAUCCGGGUUGCGGACAGUGUCUGGUGGGUAGUUUGACUGGGGCGGUCUCCUCCUAAAGAGUAACGGAGGAGCACGAAGGUUGGCUAAUCCUGGUCGGACAUCAGGAGGUUAGUGCAAUGGCAUAAGCCAGCUUGACUGCGAGCGUGACGGCGCGAGCAGGUGCGAAAGCAGGUCAUAGUGAUCCGGUGGUUCUGAAUGGAAGGGCCAUCGCUCAACGGAUAAAAGGUACUCCGGGGAUAACAGGCUGAUACCGCCCAAGAGUUCAUAUCGACGGCGGUGUUUGGCACCUCGAUGUCGGCUCAUCACAUCCUGGGGCUGAAGUAGGUCCCAAGGGUAUGGCUGUUCGCCAUUUAAAGUGGUACGCGAGCUGGGUUUAGAACGUCGUGAGACAGUUCGGUCCCUAUCUGCCGUGGGCGCUGGAGAACUGAGGGGGGCUGCUCCUAGUACGAGAGGACCGGAGUGGACGCAUCACUGGUGUUCGGGUUGUCAUGCCAAUGGCACUGCCCGGUAGCUAAAUGCGGAAGAGAUAAGUGCUGAAAGCAUCUAAGCACGAAACUUGCCCCGAGAUGAGUUCUCC